GCUACCUCUGCACUUCCCUGAGCCCCUGAAUGAGGGAUUGUUUGUGCAACUGGGAAUCGGAGCUUCUCCUGUGUGUCAUGUGCAGUUUGGGCUGCACCCGCCCUGCCUGCUGGGCCUGUAGGGUGUGUAGGUUAUGUCGAAACAAGACUGCACCCAGACACUACCCUAGGCCUCAGGCACCCUGGGAGUUCUGCUGUGUCAGGGACCCGGCGCUGCAAUCUUUUUGUCUUCCAAAUGAGACCUGAGGCGGAGGCUGCGGCGAGUUCCUGAGUUUUCUCCACAGGCUCCACAGGCUCCCAGUACUCCACAAAGACCACUGGUUCUCGGACUUAGGUAUGAAUCAGAAUCAACUGUGGAAUCCUGAAGAUGCUCAGGCUCACCAAGGGCCUGAAUUUCAAGGGAUGAGGCUGAGUUGUGUGCAUUUCAAAUAAGUAAUUGUUAUUUGUGCUAAAGUUUUAGGAUCUCUUGUUUAAAUAGACCAUAAUAAAUUCCAACCUGGGCAACAUUAGUCCAUUCUCACAUUACUACAAAGAACUACCUGAGACUGGGUAAUUUAUGGAAAAAAGAGGUUUAAUUGACUCACAGUUCCAUAGUCUGUACAGGAAGCAUGGUUAGGAGGCCUCAGG
rnacentral:lncRNA from 1 species